CGUGUAGGCGGCUUGGUAAGUCAGAUGUGAAAGCCCUGGGCUCAACCGAGGAAGUGCAUUUGAAACUACCAGACUUGAGUACGGGAGAGGAGGGGGGAAUUCCCGGUGUAGAGGUGAAAUUCGUAGAUAUCGGGAGGAAUACCGGUGGCGAAGGCGCCCCUCUGGACCGAUACUGACGCUGAGACGCGAAAGCGUGGGGAGCAAACA
rnacentral:rRNA from 1 species